ACGAACGCUGGCGGCGUGCUUAACACAUGCAAGUCGAACGGAAAGGCCCUGCUUUUGUGGGGUGCUCGAGUGGCGAACGGGUGAGUAACACGUGAGUAACCUGCCCUUGACUUUGGGAUAACUUCAGGAAACUGGGGCUAAUACCGGAUAGGAGCUCCUGCUGCAUGGUGGGGGUUGGAAAGUUUCGGCGGUUGGGGAUGGACUCGCGGCUUAUCAGCUUGUUGGUGGGGUAGUGGCUUACCAAGGGUUUGACGGGUAGCCGGCCUGAGAGGGUGACCGGCCACAUUGGGACUGAGAUACGGCCCAGACUCCUACGGGAGGCAGCAGUGGGGAAUAUUGCACAAUGGGCGGAAGCCUGAUGCAGCAACGCCGCGUGCGGGUUGACGGCCUUCGGGUUGUAAACCGCUUUCGCCUGUGACGAAGCGUGAGUGACGGUAAUGGGUAAAGAAGCACCGGCUAACUACGUG
rnacentral:rRNA from 1 species